UACAGAGGUGGCAAGCGUUGUUCGGAAUUACUGGGCGUAAAGGGCUCGUAGGCGGCCAACUAAGUCGGACGUGAAAUCCCUCAGCUUAACUGGGGAACUGCGUCUGAUACUGGAUGGCUUGGAUUUGGGAGAGGGAUGCGGAAUUCCAGGUGUAGCGGUGAAAUGCGUAGAUAUCUGGAGGAACACCGGUGGCGAAGGCGGCAUCCUGGACCAACAUUGACGCUGAGGAGCGAAAGCCAGGGGAGCAAACGGG
rnacentral:rRNA from 1 species